rnacentral:misc_RNA from 1 species
ACAAACUUGGUCAUUUAGAGGAAGUAAAAGUCGUAACAAGGUUUCCGUAGGUGAACCUGCGGAAGGAUCAUUAAAAGAAUUAGAGGCUUUUCGUCUCAAAUUCCCAACCCUUUGUUUAAUUAAACCUUUAGUUGCUUUGGUGUAUGGUCUGACAUUGUCAUGAUGUCAGGUGCCUGCCGAUAGCCUACUUUAAACUCUUGUUUUAAUUUAUGUCAUGUCUAAAUUUUAAUUUAUAAUUAAAUAAAACUUUCAACAACGGAUCUCUUGGUUCUGGCAUCGAUGAAGAACGCAGC